AACCAUAGAAACCUGCGGAGUACCUGCGGAGGGAUCAUUACCGAGUUUACAACUCCCAAACCCAAUGUGAACGUUACCAAACUGUUGCCUCGGCGGGAUCUCUGCCCCGGGUGCGUCGCAGCCCCGGACCAAGGCGCCCGCCGGAGGACCAACCAAAACUCUUAUUGUAUACCCCCUCGCGGGUUUUUUACUAUCUGAGCCAUCUCGGCGCCCCUCGUGGGCGUUUCGAAAAUGAAUCAA
rnacentral:misc_RNA from 1 species